GAUGAAGAACGUAGCGAAAUGCGAUAAGUAAUGUGAAUUGCAGAAUUCAGUGAAUCAUCGAAUCUUUGAACGCACAUUGCGCCCUCUGGUAUUCCGGGGGGCAUGCCUGUUCGAGCGUCAUUAUAACCACUCAAGCUCUCGCUUGGUAUUGGGGUUCGCGGUUCCGCGGCCCCUAAAAUCAGUGGCGGUGCCUGUCGGCUCUACGCGUAGUAAUACUCCUCGCGAUUGAGUCCGGUAGGUCUACUUGCCAGCAACCCCCAAUUUUUACAGGUUGACCUCGGAUCAGGUAGGGAUACCCGCUGAACUUAAGCAUAGCAAUAAGCGGAGGA
rnacentral:misc_RNA from 1 species